UGGCAUUGAAGUCCCCCGCGACGAUGAC
rnacentral:sRNA from 1 species